rnacentral:rRNA from 1 species
UACAGAGGGGGCAAGCGUUGUUCGGAAUUACUGGGCGUAAAGGGCGCGUAGGCGGCCUUCUAAGUCGAACGUGAAAUCCCCGGGCUCAACCCGGGAACUGCGUCCGAUACUGGAGGGCUUGGAUUUGGGAGAGGGAUGCGGAAUUCCAGGUGUAGCGGUGAAAUGCGUAGAUAUCUGGAGGAACACCGGUGGCGAAGGCGGCAUCCUGGACCAAUAUUGACGCUGAGGAGCGAAAGCCAGGGGAGCAAACGGG